rnacentral:rRNA from 1 species
CCUACGGGGGGCAGCAGUGGGGAAUAUUGGACAAUGGGCGAAAGCCUGAUCCAGCCAUGCCGCGUGUGUGAAGAAGGCCUUCGGGUUGUAAAGCACUUUCAGUGGGGAAGAAAGCCUUGGGGCUAAUACCCUCGAGGAAGGACAUCACCCACAGAAGAAGCACCGGCUAACUCCGUGCCAGCAGCCGCGGUAAUACGGAGGGUGCGAGCGUUAAUCGGAAUUACUGGGCGUAAAGCGCGCGUAGGCGGUCUGAUAAGCCGGUUGUGAAAGCCCCGGGCUCAACCUGGGAACGGCAUCCGGAACUGGCAGGCUAGAGUGCAGGAGAGGAAGGUAGAAUUCCCGGUGUAGCGGUGAAAUGCGUAGAGAUCGGGAGGAAUACCAGUGGCGAAGGCGGCCUUCUGGACUGACACUGACGCUGAGGUGCGAAAGCGUGGGUAGCAAACAGGAUUAGAUACCCCAGUAGUC